AUGUUCAUUUCAGCAGCAUAUAUAUUAAAACUGGAAUGACACAGAGAAGAUUAGCAUGGCCCCUGCGCGAGGAUGACACACAAAUUCGUGUAGUGUUCCAUAUUUUU
rnacentral:snRNA from 1 species